GGAUUCUGGGAGAUGGAGGAGGAGACUCCAGCACUUCCUCCUUGGCACCAGCAGUGGAACGCGGGGCCGCUCCCAGCCUCACUUGAGCAGCCCCCGCCCUCCCAGAGGCCUCAGUCCCAGUCACGUGAUGGUCGACUCAGCUGACCCGGCCCAACCAGAAAAAGAAAUUCCUGGGCCCUGGCUUCCUGGUGCGAUAAUGAGGCACCAGGGGUGAAGUGAGGCAUGGGCUGCUGGAGCGGGAAUGAGGGGGCGCCAGUGGCUCCGGAAACGGUGGGGGAGGUUGUAUGCACUGGCCUCUCCGCAAACAGUGUGUGCGCGCGUGAGGGCUGCCUGUCUGGCAGAGAAAAGCCCACCGCUAUCCUGCUCCCGAGUGUGGCGCUUAGACAGAGCAGGCAGGCCUGACUUAGAGUCCCCGUGCUUCCCUGGUGGAAGGAAGGGCUCCUGCCUCCCCGGGCAGGAAAUGGGGCUUGUCUGGAGCUGAGAGUCCUUUCAGGUCCUUCCCAGCCCCAGGAGGGCCCCCCAAGGACACCCCGUUCCCCAGCCCUGCUGUGGGACUUGUACAACAACGUGCUUAGACUCAGGCUCCCUCUUCCACACUGUUAGGAAGCCCCUCCGCUCUUUCCAGACCCAGAAAGUAGUAGUUUUGGAGCUGAGCCUUAUCCAUCCAUCCUUACGUUCUAAGUGCCUAGUCUAUACCAUAAAGUGUGCUAGGCACUGGGAGGACUUGAGUUGCCCCAGGAAGGGGAAAUUGGAGGCUUGAAUUGGCAGUCAUAGUUAAGGCUCCGGGGCAGAGACCUAACUGCGCCUUGUGUGUAGUGCUAAGGGGGUUUCCUGAGGAUGCCAUCAACCUUAAAGGUGGAUGGCAGGAGCUGGCUGGCUGAAGUACAGUUUGUGUACCAGGGGUUGGGAGGAAAGGGUGGGAGGUGUGCAUCUUCAGACAGGGAACAGCAUGUGUAGAGACUUCAGGUGAGAGAGAGCAUGGCUCCCCAGGAAGGAAUGCAUUUCCCAUAGCUGGGAGAGUAUCAUCUGGAGGUUAGAGAAAGAUGAGGCUGGACAAGUAAAGACCAAAUCUUCCUGGCUCUUGGAUCACCACAAUCAAGAUAAUGAACAUUCCACCGGACCCCAAAAUUUCCUUAUGUGAGGGGCUAUCUUAGGAAGUAUGAUCAAGAAGGGCUGGCCUGCCAGGGUGUAGUGACUCACGCCUGUAAUCCCAGCACUUUGAGAGUGUGCAGAUGACCUGAGGUCAGGAGUUUGAGAUCAGCAUGGCCAACGUGGUGAAACCUUGUCUUUACUAAAAAUACAAAAAAGCUGGGUGUGGUGAUGUAUGCCUGUAGUCCCAGCUACUUGGGAGACUGAGGCAGGAGAACUGCUUGGACUCGGGAGGUGGAGGUUUCAGUGAGCCAAGAUUGCGCCAUUGCACUCCAGCAUGGGCAGCAGAGGGAGACUCCGUCUUUAAAAAAAAAAAAAAAGAAGAAGAAGAAGUGCUAGUCUGAUGAGGUGUCACUUUAGCAGAGAGUGGAAUGAAAUAAAGGAUGGCAAGCCACACAGAGAGUGCAGCAGGCAUGGCGGCGGGAGCAAGGCUGGUGUCCCUGAGCAGCAGCAGGGAAGCUGGAGUGGCUGGACUUGUGUCAGUAUGGGGAAGAAGGGAGAGAGGUCACUCGUCUCUGUGAAGCCCAGGACUUUGUUUUAUCCCCUACUGUACCCCCAGCACAUAGAGUGGGAACUAGCACAGAGAAGGCACUCAAUUGAUGUUUGCUGAGCAGACGAAUGCCUGGAGUAGACCUCAGAGCAGGGUUUGGUGGCAGGGUGGGUCAGGGAGAGAGUUCACUCAACAGCCUGGUGAUAGGGGAGAACAAGAGGCCAGAGGGUAUCCAUCUAUGAUGGGGACCAGGGGUCCCUGCUGGGCAGCAGUGUAGGAGACACACGGAUCCUGGCCACACCUCAGCCUUCCCUCCAGCCUGAGUACCUACCUCCCUCCCUUGCAGAGGUUCCGGUUCUGUGGUGAUCUGGACUGUCCCGACUGGGUCCUGGCAGAGAUCAGCAGCUGGCUAAGAUGGUUGAGUGCACAGGGUCUGCUCUGGUGGAGGAGGGGCGUUGGGUCUGGGGAUUGUGGGUAUAGAUGAUGGUGAGGUUUCUCUGGGGUUAGGGCCUCAGUGCUCUCAGCCUGUGCUACCAUGCUUUGUGACCUUAAUCAGUGGCUGGCCUGCUCUGAGCCAGUCCCCAGGAAGGAGGGGUGAGGUUUGCCAGCCUGGCUGAUGUAAGGACUUCCCUUCCAGUCCUCUGUGAAGUUGCAGCUGCUCUGCAGCCAGGUACUAAAGAGCUGCUGGGACGGGGGAUUGAUGAUCCAGGCUAGAGUUGAGGGGUUGGUGAGCAGGGGUCUGGCACCCCUUGAAGGUCUCCUUUCCUCAUAGAGUGAGAAGAUCCUGAAGCUGACGGCUAAUGCCAAGUUUGGUCCCUCGGAGUCAGGCAAUAUGAAGGCCACAGUGGCAGUGCUGAGUUUCAUCCUCUCCAGUGCGGCCAAGCACAGUGUUGAUGGUGGAUGCUUGUCCAGUGAACUGCAGCAGCUGGGGCUGCCCAAAGGUAUGGGUUGUGGGUGGGCAGCUGGGCAGUCUGUGGGCCAAGGGCUGCUAGAGAGGGGGCCAGGCCCUGUGACCCUAUGGUGUACCCUGCCCUGUCUGGGCCAGGAACCCAAGCCCAGCUCCCACCUGAUACCUCCAGAGCUACUCCAUUCUACCCCCAGAGCAUGUGGCCAGAUUGUGCCACCCUUAUGAGGAGAAGCAAAGCCUCUUGCAGAAGCACUUGGGGUCUACAACCUACGCAGUAAGUAUGAGCCCAGCCAGUGUCCGCGCUCAUUCUAGAAGGUGCACGCAGCAUGCAAAGUGCAUGGAGAGUCCAGGGAGAUGACAACCACAGUCACAUGCCCAGCAGCCGCAGAGCUGGGAUCUGGCCCUGGGUCUCCUGACUCCACGGGCUGUGCGAUGUGUACAUACAGGAUCAGACCUCGCCCUUUUCUCCUAGCUGACCCUUUCCUAGUCCCCCAUGCCCCAUGGGUGAGCACCUAGCUCACUCUCUUUCCUCCCUCUCCAAAGUGUGGUCUCUUGCAGCACAAGUGGCAGAAGGGGCAGCAGAGACUAUGGACCCCUCAGCUGCAUCUAAGACCUCUGUGUGGUCUAGCUGUGUGUGCUGGAGGGGGGCUCUUGGCCACCAGUUCCCCCUCUGUAAAUGAGACCCAUACCUGUGGCAUGGAGGACAGGAGGCUGGUGUGCGUGCCAAGCACUUGGAGCAGGGCCCUGAGUGAGCAUGGACGUGGGAGCAGGGGUGUUCCUCGACUUUAUGUACCUUAGGGAUGGGAGUGGGCUACCUGUGUGGGUUGACAAGGCAUUGCUUUCCCCUACCCCACCUCUGUCCCAGCCCUGCAAGUCAGUCCUUGGGGGUCUAGGAGGGAAGAAGUGCCUGGCUGUGUGACCUCGGGCUGGUACCUGGCCCUCUCUGGCUCUGAAUUCCUGGGAAAGUCAGCACCCAAGGAACGCCCUCCAGUUUAGCACCUUGACAAGAAGGGUGGGGACACUGGGUUCAGGCCCACCCCUCUGGUCCAAACCCCUCGGCCCCAGCUGGAGGAUGAGGAGAUGCUGGGCUUGGGUGGGGGAAUCUCCUCAGCUUGGCUAAAAGGCUCAAGGUGUCAAAGGCUCAGCCUGCCCCCCAGGAAGGAGCCUGGGCCCAGCCAGUCACCAGGACAAGGGCAACUAUGGCGAGCAGGAGGCCCAGGAUGAGGAGAACCAUGGCAUAGCUGGAGAUGAAGGUGUCCAGCGGGCUGGAGGCUUUGGGGCCAGGAGUGCUUAGAGCAGAACAAGAAGGCUAUGACCAGGCGCGGCCCCACCUCCCAGACUUCUGAGAAGGCAGAAUCUGCACUCAGAAGGUGCUGCGGGACCAGAGAGUGGGGCUAGGAGCAUCUUGGAGGGCUCCAUGAGCAGGGGAGGCAGGCUUCAGAUCAGGGCAUGUGGAGGAGGCAGAUGGACAGAGGGAGGAGGCCUGCAGAGGGAAGGAGGUACUGACCGAGGUCUGGGAUGACCGUGUCUACCAAGAGGCCCUCUGCCUCCCCCAGGGUGUGCAGACACUGGCGCGCACAGUCCUACCUGAGGGCCCGGGCUGGUGCCAGCCUGAAGGUGGCACCCAUUCUAGCGGUCAGUGGAUCUGGACUGGUGGGAGAAUCAUCACACACUUCAGGGGCCUGCGCAACCUUGCAGGACUAGGGGAGGUCAUCUCUUCCAGCCUCCUGCCCUCAACCCCAGAACCCUGGUCUGAGCCCUGGGUCACCCAGGGCCACCCCAGACCCCCUAGAAUUCCUCUACCACCACUUGGUCAAAGUUCUGCAGAGGUCUGAGGAUGAGGGUCAGCUGGGGGGUCAGGAGAGGAUGAAGAGGGUCACAGCUCUACCAAACCAAGCCUUAUUUCUUGUGGCCCCUGGCCUACUCCUCUGAUGCCAACCUCCGGCUGGCCCAGCCCUGCAGAGUAGGUGCUCAAAGGCAUCAGUAGCAGUUUGUCUCAUGCUGGUCUCCCCCCAGGUCCCCCUCU